CGGGGUGCAGCAGGCGCGAAAACUCCACACUGUACGGAAGUACGGUGGGGUUAUCUCGAGUGCAGUCCGAUAAGGGCUGCUUUUCCAUAGAGUAAUAUCCUGUGGGAAUAAGAGGGGGGCAAGACUGGUGUCAGCCGCCGCGGUAACACCAGCCCCUCGAGUGGUGGGGACUAUUAUUUGGUCUAAAGCGUCCGUAGCUGGCUGUAUCCGUCCCCCGUUAAAUCCAGCGUCCUAAGCGUUGGACUGCGGGUGAUACCAUACAGCUAGAGGGUGGGAUAGGUGAGCGGUAUUUCUGGGGUAGGGGCGAAAUCCUUUGAUCCCAGGAGGACCACCAGUGGCGAAGGCUGCUCACUAGAACACGCCUGACGGUCAGGGACGAAAGCUGGGGCAGCGAACCGGAUUAGAUACCCGGGUAGUCCCAGCUGUAAACGAUGCUAGCUAGGUGUUGGGUCGGCCACGCGCCGCCCCAGUGCCGCAGGGAAGCCGUUAAGCUAGCCACCUGGGGAGUACGGCCGCAAGGCUGAAACUUAAAGGAAUUGGCGGGGGAGCAC
rnacentral:rRNA from 1 species